CCUACGGGAGGCAGCAGUCGAGAAUCAUUCACAAUGGGGGAAACACUGAUGGUGCGACGCCGCGUGGGGGAAUGAAGGUCUUCGGAUUGUAAACCCCUGUAAUGUGGGAGCAAAUUAAAAAGAUAGUACCGCAAGAGGAAGAGACGACUAACUAGGUGCCAGCAGCCGCGGUAAUACAGAGGUCGCACGCGUUGUUAGGAAGCACUGGGGGUAAAGCGUGCGUCGGCUGUUAUGUAAGUCUGGUGUGAAAGGCGCGGGCUCAACCCGCGGACGGCACCUGAUACUGCGAGACUAGAGUGAAGGAGAGGGAAGCGGAAUGCCCGGUGUAGCAGGGAAAUGCGUAGAUAUCGGGAGGAACACUCGUGGCGAAGGCGGGUUCCUGGACAUUAACUGACGCUGAGGCACGAAGGCGAGGGGAGCGAAAGGGAUUAGAUACCCCUGUAGUC
rnacentral:rRNA from 1 species